GUCGAGAAUAAUUCACAAUGGGGGAAACCCUGAUGGUGCAACGCCGCGUGGAGGAUGAAGGUCUUCGGAUUGUAAACUCCUGUCAUCUGGGAGUAAGACCUGACGGUGAAUAGCCGGCAGGGUUGAUAGUACCAGAAGAGGAAGGGACGGCUAACUUCGUGCCAGCAGCCGCGGUAAUACGAAGGUCCCAAGCGUUGUUCGGAAUCACUGGGCGUAAAGGGAGCGUAGGCGGCGUGGUAAGUCAGAUGUGAAAUCCCGGGGCUCAACCCCGGAACUGCACCCGAUACUGCCGUGCUAGAGGGGUGGAGAGGUGACUGGAAUUCUCGGUGUAGCAGUGAAAUGCGUGGAUAUCGAGAGGAACACUCGUGGCGAAGGCGAGUCACUGGACAACAUCUGACGCUGAGGCUCGAAGGCCAGGGGAGCAAAAGGGAUUAGAAACCCCGGUAGUCC
rnacentral:rRNA from 1 species